rnacentral:rRNA from 1 species
UUCUGCCAGUAGUCAUAUGCUUGUCUCAAAGAUUAAGCCAUGCAUGUCUAAGUAUAAGCACUCUUUUACUGUGAAACUGCGAAUGGCUCAUUAAAUCAGUUAUCGUUUAUUUGAUAGUACCCUACUACAUGGAUACCUGUGGUAAUUCUAGAGCUAAUACAUGCGCAAAACCCCGACUUCGGAAGGGGUGUAUUUAUUAGAUAAAAAACCAAUGCCCUUCGGGGCUCCUUGGUGAUUCAUAAUAACUUCACGAAUCGCAUGGCCUUGCGCCGGCGAUGGUUCAUUCAAAUUUCUGCCCUAUCAACUUUCGAUGGUAGGAUAGUGGCCUACCAUGGUGGCAACGGGUAACGGGGAAUUAGGGUUCGAUUCCGGAGAGGGAGCCUGAGAAACGGCUACCACAUCCAAGGAAGGCAGCAGGCGCGCAAAUUACCCAAUCCCGAUACGGGGAGGUAGUGACAAUAAAUACUGAUACAGGGCUCUUUUGGGUCUUGUAAUUGGAAUGAGAACAAUCUAAAUCCCUUAACGAGGAACAAUUGGAGGGCAAGUCUGGUGCCAGCAGCCGCGGUAAUUCCAGCUCCAAUAGCGUAUAUUAAAGUUGUUGCAGUUAAAAAGCUCGUAGUUGAACCUUGGGCCCGUCCUGCCGGUCCGCCUCACCGCGAGUACUGGUCCGGAUGGGCCUUUCUUUCUGGGGAAUCCCAUGGCCUUCACUGGCUGUGGCGGGGAACCAGGACUUUUACUGUGAAAAAAUUAGAGUGUUCAAAGCAGGCCUUUGCUCGGAUACAUUAGCAUGGAAUAAUAGAAUAGGACGUGCGGUUCUAUUUUGUUGGUUUCUAGGACCGCCGUAAUGAUUAAUAGGGAUAGUCGGGGGCGUCAGUAUUCAGCUGUCAGAGGUGAAAUUCUUGGAUUUGCUGAAGACUAACUACUGCGAAAGCAUUCGCCAAGGAUGUUUUCAUUAAUCAGGGAACGAAAGUUAGGGGAUCGAAGACGAUCAGAUACCGUCGUAGUCUUAACCAUAAACUAUGCCGACUAGGGAUCGGGCGGGGUUUCUAUGAUGACCCGCUCGGCACCUUACGAGAAAUCAAAGUUUUUGGGUUCUGGGGGGAGUAUGGUCGCAAGGCUGAAACUUAAAGAAAUUGACGGAAGGGCACCCUGCCUUC